ACGGAAGGCAGCAGUGAGGAAUAUUGGUCAAUGGGCGGAAGCCUGAACCAGCCAAGUCGCGUGAAGGAAGAAGGUAUUAUGUAUUGUAAACUUCUUUAGCAGCAGAGUAAUAAGGAGGUCGCGACCUCUGAUGCAAGUAUGCUGAAAAUAAGGAUCGGCUAACUCCGUGCCAGCAGCCGCGGUAAUACGGAGGAUCCGAGCGUUAUCCGGAUUUAUUGGGUUUAAAGGGUGCGCAGGCGGUCUUUUAAGUCAGUGGUCAAAUCGUGGUGCUCAACGCCAUCCCACCAUUGAUACUGGGAGACUUGAUUUCGGUCGAGGUAGGCGGAAUUCGUCGUGUAGCGGUGAAAUGCAUAGAUAUGACGAAGAACCCCGAUUGCGUAGGCAGCUUACCAGCCCGACAAUGACGCUCAUGCACGAAAGUGCGGGGAUCGAACAGGAUUAGAUACCCUGGUA
rnacentral:rRNA from 1 species